rnacentral:lncRNA from 1 species
AGGAAGCUGCUUUUCAAUGACCUGAAGUACAUCUGGCCAAAGUUAGCUUGUAUUCUCCUUGGCAAGAUCACUCCUACUGAGGGAUAUCAUAUCAUGAGCAGCCCUAUUGAGAGAACCAUGUGGCAAGAAACUGAAGUCUCCUGCCGAUAGCCAUAACAUGCAUCUCUGGAUCCCUGAGCCGUCAUAUGCAAGGUCCAAUUACCCUGAAGCCACCAUGCUGGAGAGAUUACAUGAAGAGACCACCCAGAGUUAGAGAAGAGCCCUAGCUGCCCCAGCCCCUGGUGUUCAGGAUUCCUAGCCUAGGCUGGGAGCAGCUUUUGAAUGAUCUCACUCUCCAACCACCAAGCUGCCCCAGCCAGCACCAAGUAGAGCAGAAAUGAGCCUUCUCCACUGAGCCCUGUUCAGACGACAGAUUUGUGAGCAAAAUAAAUGUUGUUGAGGGGUAAUCAUAAGUUUUGGGAUGGCUUAUUAUGUAGCCAUUGUAACUGACACAGGAUACAAAGCAAUUUUCCAAAUAAGCUAUAGAGUUCUAACUCAGAACAGAGUUAGGUUGAGCUUCCAAGGAUAAAACAAUGUAUAUACCAAUAUAUACCUAUGGAAGUUUAUUCAUCCGUGUCAUUCACUACUCCAUCCAAUAAAUAUUUGUGAAAUGUC